rnacentral:tRNA from 1 species
GGGAGUGUAGCACAAUGGCAGAAUGCUUGCCUAGCAUGCAUGAGGCCUUGGGUUCAAUUCCUAGCACACCCA